rnacentral:rRNA from 1 species
AACGAACGCUGGCGGCAGGCCUAACACAUGCAAGUCGAGCGGGACCUUCGGGUCUAGCGGCGGACGGGUUAGUAACGCGUGGGAACGUGCCCAAAGGUACGGAAUAGCCUCGGGAAACUGAGAGUAAUACCAUAUGUGCCCCUCGGGGGAAAGAUUUAUCGCCUUUGGAUCGGCCCGCGUUGGAUUAGGUAGUUGGUGGGGUAAUGGCCUACCAAGCCGACGAUCCAUAGCUGGUUUGAGAGGAUGAUCAGCAACACUGGGACUGAGACACGGCCCAGACUCCUACGGGAGGCAGCAGUGGGGAAUCUUAGACAAUGGGGGAAACCCUGAUCUAGCCAUGCCGCGUGAGCGAUGAAGGCCUUAGGGUUGUAAAGCGUCUUUCAGAUGGGAAGAUAAUGACGGUACCAUCAGAAGAAGCCCCGGCUAACUCCGUG